AAGGCCCAACUGUUUACCAAAAACAUAGCCUUCAGCCCUCCAAGUAUUGAAGGUGAUGCCUGCCCAGUGACACUAUGUUUAAUGGCCGCGGUAUCCCAACCGUGCAAAGGUAGUGCAAUCCAUUGUCCCAUAAAUCGAGACUUGUAUGAAUGGCUAAACGAGGUCUU
rnacentral:ncRNA from 1 species